GUACUGCAUGUCGACGUUCAAAGGCACUUACCUUGUGUGGCAUUUCAAAAAUCUUUCCAACAUGGUCGACGGUCCCUGCGACAGUGAAUACUUUCUUAAUGUUAAAAAUUUACUCAUGGUUAUUAACUUUUAUUGUGCGUGUCAUAUUUGUCAAACUUCAAAUGGAAAUCUGUCAAGCUAGCAAUCUGGUUAACUGGCAAGUGCCAGCAGGGCUAAGGUUAGCUAAGCGCCUGGUAGGUGAACUGGCUCGAGCUAACGUCAGAUAGUAUGAUUUGAAAAUGCUGGUGGUGGGGAAGUAAAGUUAGGUAGCGUUGAUGAUUCAUAAUCAGUUUAAAGUAAUUAAUGAAAGCUGGACAUUAAAUGCAGGUAAGCUCUGGGAGCGAGCGUGACAUGAAAGUGACUGAAGUCAGACAAGUGCGCACUGUCCCCUGAGGGUUCACGCGCUCAGGGAUUCGAUCUAGCAACCUUUCGGUUAUCGGCCAAACGCUCUAACCAGUAGGCUUCCUGCCGCCCAAAAGGUAAAGGUAAGCUUAGGUUGAAAUGACCUGAGAUGGACAACAUAACAUGUUUGUAUCAGUUGGAGUCAGUGUGGGGCUGCCUCAGUUCUGACAUAAUUGCUCUGAUUAAUUUAUUUUCUCUGCAGUCACUUUGUGUCAUGGUAUGUAGAACAUCUUUGUUCCUACGGGCUAUCAUCUACAAAAGUUAGCCUGUCUGUCCAAUUGCAAUCUGAGCUCAACGACACUGUCACCUUUUCUGCAUACAACAUUGAUGGCCAGCUGCUGUUGACCCCCCAAUGGGUUAAUACGAGUGAGACAGAGUUGAAUGUUUUAUGAUAAGUCAUUAUUUGUCUAAUGAAGCCAUUAUGCACCUAGUGUUACCAUGUGUAUUGUUUUGAUAUUCCAAGUGCAACCUCUCAAUGUUGUUCUUCCUCAGCAAUGGCAGCUGCAGCUCCACAAACCAUGAUACUUUGCAUUGUUGAUGCUGACCAUACAAGGAAGAUAAACCUCAGCUCCAGUCCAGCAUCUGUUGAUGACUAGAUAAACAAUUUGAAUGCCAAGUUUGCAGUAUGAAGACCCUAACUUUGAUGGACAACUUACCUGCUUGAUGGACAUUGAGAAGUUGCCAAAUAAGGCAACACUGCACCUUUUAGUGCAUCACAUUGGCUGCAUCACAUCUGGCUGUGAUUGGGAGUCCCAUAGGUGAGUCCACAAUUUGCCCAGCGUCAUACAGGUUUGGCCGGGGUAGGCCGUCAUUGUAAAUAAGAAUUUGUUCUUAACUGACUUGUCUAGUUAAAUAAAGGUUACAUUUAAAAAAGUGGAAGGAGGAAAUACAAGUUCUACAGCUGACACAUAAAUACUUUCAGAUGUGUCUUCCCCAGAGCGCCUCAGUAGAUGGCCGCCAGACGGUUUUCCCAUGCCUACUUUUGCAUUAGAGGUAGAGUUGAAGCUUAGAGAAGGAAGUGCUGCCUUUGAAAGGAAUGGAAAUUACUUCAGUUAUCUAGAGACCAAAAACAUGAUAUCUUAGAGAAAGUUGCUUCUACUGUGUACAGUUUCUAGACUUACCCAAUUGACCGAGAGAUAGGAAAGGCAGCUGAAGCUCUUGUAACGAAACACCCCUGUCUGAAAGAGGCAGGAUCUGACACUGGGUGGAAUGGAUGGAAGAACGGCAUCAAAUUUAAGAUGGGUAACUACAGAACCAAGUUGAGGAGAGCAGGAUGUCAGGAGGUUUCCGUAAAACGCAGGAAAAAGAAGCAGAAUCAAUCCAGAGAAUGAACCUUCGCACUCAAACAUAAAGAGACCGGGCAGAAUGUACUUUUCUGCCAAAUUUUCCCCUUGGAGAGGACUCGGAAAGUCUUGAAAUGCUGAGGCAGGAAAUGGUCCAAGAAGUUCAGAAGAGGGAAAGGAACUUACCCCUGAUCGAUAGGAAGAUGCAGACCACAUUUGCCCUGCGGCACCAGGAUAUAGUCAUCGACACGUCACCUGUAAAGGAGAUCCUUGAUCUCUGGCCUGUUCUGCGCAUGGAGUCACAGAUGUAUGCAGAGCGCCAGUGAAUUUUCAAACCAGAACCUGCCAAACAUUUUAUAUGCUGAGAGUGACGACACACCACUCGUUUGAUGACCUUGUAUAGACAAAGGGCAUCAAAGACUGGAAGGACUGCUGACGCUUUGGUUGACAUUCUGAGGUGUCAUGAUCUACAGGAAGUACAUCAUGCCCACACAAGGCGUACAACUGUUAACCGUGCUCUUCCUGUGUUGCUGCGUGAGGAAGUCUCCGGAUUUUUCAAAACAUGCAAGGUGGACGAUUCAGACGAGCCAGAGUUUGGUGACUCACCGGUAGCCCUGCUGACAAUCGUAAAAUCCAGUCCACUGCAAUCCAGUUGAGCUCUCUGUUGUCGAAGGAGAGUGACGUUGUGGUGAUUGACCUCCCUGGACUGCCGGAUGCUUUCCUAGUAAUGUUUGGUCUGACAUAUGCUCUACAUCUCAGUUAUCCGAAAGAACUGUCCAACACCUUCGAGAUCAUUCAGAUAAUCCUGCUAGGUUUAGAAGAAAACUGAAGCCAAGGCUACAGGCUCUGAAGAAUGAUUUGAUGAUACAUGUGUAAGUAAGCAUUGACCAAAUGACUACCACAAGCUGGUAACACUUUGUUUUUAUUCCAACAUAACUAAAUGUGGCUUAAUGUUUUGAGUCUUUUUUUGUAUGACAUUGUGUUUGAUUCUUUAAGAAAUGUUAUGCUGAGCUGCUAGAAUACAGUACAAAAGAUUGUCAGAAUAUUUAGUUUGAAGUCAGAACAGAAAAUCUUACAGGCCACCUACCACAAGUACUUUACAUGAGCAUUUCCCUGAACUAUGCAGGUGGAAUUUGCAUUGAAUUCUAUUGUUGUGACUUUACUUACACUCCAGUCUUCACCUGGACAUUUAUAUUUAUUUUUGUUUCCAUAGUAUUUGGUUUUAAGGUUAAUAUACAUAGUUUUUUUAUAAUCUGUUUUAUCCGCUAAGGCUGACAUCUUUGAGAAAUGAUCCCAUGAUAAUGCUAGAACAGUAUGUUUUAGACUUUGAGCAAGCUGGACACACAACGGUGUAUGUUCCAAUACUUUAGAUUCAAGAACUGUUUCAUAACACUGAUAUUCUAAGCAAAAUCUCAGAACCAAAACCUGAGCCAAGUCACUACACGUCCGUAAAGAGUUUGGCCUGAGAACAAAAGCCAGCCAUGACUUAAUAUAAAAAAUGUUGUGCGAAGUGAUGCUAUUUCCACCCCAUCACAUGUUUUUGAUGAUCUUUUGGAAGCUAUUGUGCCUAUUGAGCUGUCUCAAUUGAUAUUGGAAUUUCAGUUUCUUUAAAUAAUACAUUGUUUUAUAAUCCCAAAAUUACCUCAAUUAUUAUUUGUUGACAUUGUUGAAUUUAUUUUAUAGUUUAAGAAAGGAACCACAAAAGACACUUGCUCUUACCCCCUAAUCAUCAUUACAGUAGCACCUCCACCGGGGUUGGGGUCAAUUCCGUUGCAAUUCAGGAAGUAAACUGAAAUUCCAGUUCUAAUUUCAUCUCAUAGGAGACAAUGAUAAAAAUGUAUCUUGAUAUUGAAAUGAGUUUACUUACUGUAUUGAAAAGGAAUUGACCCCAACCGUGGUGGAGGUGCUACUGUAACGUGUUCUCUUUAAAACCUUUGCAGUAUGUACAGUAGGCUAAAUUGUAGGUCAUGGUGUUUUUUUAGAUCAGCCAUUUUCCUUAAUUUAUUAUUCCCUUGCUCAAAUGCAUUGAGAUUACUUUGUUCAAGCAUGUUGUCCACUGUUUGUUUCGCCACACUUGAAUAGGUCUACCACUGACAAGUUGAUUUUUGGGCUUACAUACUAUACUGCAUGGGGUAAUGUCUCAGUGGAGGUCAGGGUUGGGUCAAUCCCAUUUUCAAUUCAGUCAAUUCAGGAAGUAAACUGAAGUUCAAAUAUUUCCUCAAAGGAGGCAAUGAGGAAAAUAUUAGAAGUUCUGUUUACUUACCAAAUUGACUGAAUUGAAAAUGACUGACCCAAACCUGACCUCCACUGAGACAUUGCCACAUCGACCCCAAUCUGUGCUCUUUAAUUGUGAACCUUUCACUAUGUUCUCUAAUGUGAAGCUUUUACUGGAUUAUCUUUAAAUGUACUCCGGAGUCUUUUCUUCAGGAAAUGUGUUAUUGUUACUGCGACAGUAAAUCGCUGACAAACUGG